CUCUUGAAAGAAUCUAAGAGCUUAAGGAUUUUCUGAAGUUAAAGGAAUUUCAGCGGAUCGAGGUACAGACGAAUCUACUGAGGAGCUGAGUAUUACUGAGGAGGGAGAGGCCGAUGUUUAGUAGUCCCUGGGUAGUUUGGUUUCUUCUAUGAUGAUAUAUGUUUCUUAUGUUUCAAUAAUGGAAACCCUCCUACUUUAAGUUAGUUUUCUUUUGUAAUGACUAAAGGGACUGAGUCCCUUUUUGUUUAAAGUAGUUAUCUUAAAUAAAUGGAUGACGGACUCUGAGAGUCCUUUGUAAAGGAAUGUAAA